rnacentral:rRNA from 1 species
UUCCGGUUGAUCCCGCCGGACCUGACUGCUAUCGGAUUGAUACUAAGCCAUGCGAGUCUUUGUAGUAAUACAAGGCAGACGGCUCAGUAACACGUAGUCAACCUACCCUAUGGACGAGAAUAAUCUCGGGAAACUGAGCAUAAUUCUUGAUAGAUCAUAAUGCCUGGAAUGGUUUAUGGUUAAAAUGAUUCGUCGCCAUAGGAUGGGACUGCGGCCUAUCAGCUUGUUGGUGAGGUAAUGGCCCACCAAGGCGAUUACAGGUACGGGCUCUGAGAGGAGAAGCCCGGAGAUGGGUACUGAGACACGGACCCAGGCCCUAUGGGGCGCAGCAGGCGAGAAAACUUUGCAAUGUGCGAAAGCACGACAAGGUUAAUCCGAGUGAUUUCUGCUAAAGAAAUCUUUUGCCAGUCGUAAAACCGCUGGUGAAUAAGGGGUGGGCAAGUUCUGGUGUCAGCCGCCGCGGUAAAACCAGCACCUCAAGUGGUCAGGAUGAUUAUUGGGCCUAAAGCAUCCGUAGCCGGCUUUGUAAGUUUUCGGUUAAAUCCAUGUGCUCAACGCAUGGGCUGCCGAAAAUACUGCAUAGCUAGGGAGUGGAAGAGGUAGACGGUACUCAGUAGGUAGGGGUAAAAUCCUUUGAUCUAUUGAUGACCACCUGUGGCGAAGGCGGUCUACCAGAACACGUUCGACGGUGAGGGAUGAAAGCUGGGGGAGCAAACCGGAUUAGAUACCCGGGUAGUCCCAGCUGUAAACGAUGCAGACUCGAUGAUGCAUUGGCAUAAUAGCCAUUGCAGUGUCGCAGGGAAGCCGUUAAGUCUGCCGCCUGGGAAGUACGUACGCAAGUAUGAAACUUAAAGGAAUUGGCGGGGGAGCACCACAAGGGGUGAAGCCUGCGGUUCAAUUGGAGUCAACGCCGGG